rnacentral:lncRNA from 1 species
UAUUGGUUGUUUAUUGAUGAAAAUCUAUUUGUGCAAGACUUGAUGGUUACCCAGGGAAAGGACAGAUGAGCCCAGUAUAUAGGGAACCCUACUGUGAAUGUUACAUCAGUCGGACGGGGCUGGGAAGUCUCUUGUCGAAAAAAUUUAGGAGAUAUGUUUCACCCUCAUACCGUACAGGGUAUCAAAGUGAUGGAAUGUUUAACGUCCAUUACCAAAUAGGAUAUGGAGAUGGCCGAUCAAUAGUAAAAUUGGAUAUUGGGUUCACGAGUAGGGGGGACUCCGCCAUGGACCCCAAAGGGUACUAGUAAACAGGUAAAAAAGAAAAAUUAUUGUUUCUUGUUCUCUUAUGC